rnacentral:rRNA from 1 species
UGGGGAAUAUUGCACAAUGGGCGCAAGCCUGAUGCAGCCAUGCCGCGUGUAUGAAGAAGGCCUUCGGGUUGUAAAGUACUUUCAGCGGGGAGGAAGGGAGUAAAGUUAAUACCUUUGCUCAUUGACGUUACUCGCAGAAGAAGCACCGGCUAACUCCGUGCCAGCAGCCGCGGUAAUACGGAGGGUGCAAGCGUUAAUCGGAAUUACUGGGCGUAAAGCGCACGCAGGCGGUUUGUUAAGUCAGAUGUGAAAUCCCCCGGCUCAACCUUGGAGCUGCAUCUGUUACUGGCCAUCUUGAGUCUCGUAGAGGGGGGUAGAAUUCCAGGUGUGGCGGUGAAAUGCGUAGAGAUCUUGAGGAAUACCGGUGGCGAAGGCGGCCCCCUGGACGAAGACUGACGCUCAGGUGCGAAAGCGUGGGUAGCAAACAGG